CGCCAGACCGCAGGUACGAGAACGACCAGGGGAAAGAGACAGACAGAGCGACGGACGAAGGCUGCACGGCUGGAGCACAGUUUCAGGUUCAAACGGAGAAGAAGGUGAAACUUUAGAAGGGCACUUUCUCCUGCUCCUCCCUGUUCCAACAUGAGAAUUGUUGGCAGACCAGCCGUCAGCAGGUUCCUGUGGCUUUCUCCAGUGCCAGGUGCAGCAGCAAGGAAGAUAUACUUUACUCUAGAAAGCAGGCAAAUUCCACACUGUCUUUCUGUCAGCCCUACUUGGUUUAGCCCUCCAACACUGGUGGUGGGUGUGCAUUUCCCCUGUUCUGAUUGUCUGCAGCUCUAGCUUAAAUGCUUUUUUGUGUUGAAAUCUCUGUAACACUAAGAAGUUAAAUCCUUCACUGAUUGUAAUGCUGUGUCUCCUUACAAUUUUGUAAAUGUAAGUGGAGCUGAUUCAUAUUUUAAGUUUUAACUCCAUCUGCAAAAAACCAGUUUGAUAGUACUACGCCAUGUCUCUUCAAAUUAUGAGUUUCAUAAGUUACUGGUUUGGAGGGGUUAUAUUUAUGUCUGUGAAGGGAAGGGGAAUUAAAAGUGCCUAUA